UCUGGUGACUGUUUACCCAGUUUUCCAAUUAUAGUACAGUUUCUCAGUUCUUUGCUUAUCUAGUUAAAGGUAUUAGAAAAAGAGACUGCACAAUGCUGUGCAAAAUAUAAAAAAAAAGAAUUAUAAAUACCUUAGGUUUCAUUCAUUCUUGUCUUAGCAAACAUAAUGCUGUGUUCUUAUUAAGUGGAAAAGAAGUAAAGCGAGACCAACUUAAGAAAACCUCUAUCUCAAUGAGCCUUCAAAUCUGUAUUUAACUGUAGAACUCUGAACUGCCUGGCAUCCCAACAUUGAUAACCAGUGGGAGAUUAAAUGCUACUCCUUGUUCCAAGAUGACACCAAGAUGUGUAGCACAGCUAUCUGUAAAUGAAAAUAAAAUUCAAGUGCUGCCAGAAUUUAUUUCUCUGGCAAACAACAACAGACACUUUGCCAAAUGUAUUCCGAAUGACAAUGCACUUUUUUCUCAUGAUGGGAUACAUUAUGAAAUUCUUCACUGUUCAGUAGUUUAGUCAAUAGUUUCUUUGUUGCUUCAUGUGAAAAUGUUUGCAGGUGAGUAAAAUAAUAAACUUCUUCCCAGUAGCGCUGCCAAUUCAUGAUACUGCCAGAUGAUAGCACUUUACAGCAAUUCUUACAACUCCUUUCAAUUGAACUUCAAGAGAGCUGACCCAGAGCUGUGUUACUCUUUUGUCAAAGUCUUCAUACUCUAAGAUCUGUGAAGUCUGAACAAGAAUAUGCAGUUUGCCACUAGUUGCCUUUAUCUUUCUGAGCUUGAAGUGUUGACAACUACAAGCAUCUGUGCUGCUGUAGUCAUGGAGGUACUGCUGUUAACUGUAUCACAGCCUGUACUUGUCAUGUGCUGGAAACCUCCAUGGCUGCGAGUACCUGGACAGAGAAACACUUCAGUUUUUCUUAUUUAUGUUGUAAGCCUAGUUCAAGGACUUUCAUCUACACAAAGAAUUCUUCCUGAGUGGACUUGCACAAUACACAGUCUUCUGAUAUGCUGUGCAAAUUAAUUUUCAGACUACCCCUCCAGAGACAAUUUUCGUGUAUUGUGUCUUUGCUAAACUGCAAUACAAGUUAUCCUUUACUCGUCACCUUGUCUUGAUUCUUUUUAAAUCCAAAACCAUUCCUCUCCAAAUUUCUUUGCUGUAGACUUUGCAACUAGUUCUGUACGUACUUCCAGCAUAUCGUCCAUCAGUGGUUAUCUGUUGCUACUUAAGAAGUAAGACAGACAGUCAUGCAACCUCUAGAAGUAGCGAAUCAUUUCUAACCUGCAUGCUACUCAUUUCCUAAAUGAGUUAGUUGGUAUAAAGCUGUGUAUUCUUCCUUUGUCAAAAAUUCCUGAAAUAAUCUCUCAUGGAGCAGUCUCACAAAGUACCAAGUAUGUCAGUUCAUCUCUGUUUAAACUGAAACCGGAGAACUCGGCUCCCUGUCAGUUUAAACCAAUACUGACUGAUGCACCUCACCCUGCAGAGUACGCCAGUGUGAGGGUGUAAGAACCCCUCUGGAUGCUCUUGUCUCUGCGGCAACUGGAAGGGAGCAGCCUAAUCCUAGGACAACAGCAGCUUUCUGCUCUUAACAUUGUUUAUUUCUUGUUAUCAUUUGUUUUUUGUUUUUUGUUUUUUUUGUUUGUUUGUUUGUUUUUUUACUGUGCUUUCCCUAUGGAAUACACAACAUAUGACAAAGCUUUUCAGCAAUAUCCUUUGACUGUUUGGCAUGCUUAGCUUAGUUGCCUGCCUUAAACUGUUACUACUGCUUGCUUUUAAUCUUUUCCAGCCAAAAAUUGCUCCUCUCACCUCCUAGUUAUCAGUUCUCCACAGAAUUUGUUCUUGCUUCUGUUCCUCGGACAAAUUCCAGAAGAUAAGUGAGGUGAGCAGGCACAAUGAAGGUGUUAUCAAACUCUGCAUGUGUAUUUCCAAGAGAACCACAAAACCAUCUCUUGUUCUACUUGGAAGUAACAAAAAUGAGAUAACUGUGGCUAAUUAUGGAGAGAGAUACUCCCCAAAUCUGGAUUUACGUAAUUCUGUCUCCAUUCACUGUACCAGUCUGGCUUGUGUUGAAGGGGGCUGAAACAGAAGAUGGGCCUGAACUUGGCAGAGCAACUCAGUUCAGAAAUAUAUCCCUAUUCUAUCAGCAAACAAAAGGCUGUAAGUAUUGCUAUGAAUUUCUUGCUUUUUCACACGAAGUUUGUGUUAGAAGACGACAGCUGCUGUGCAUUUUUAUACCUAACCUAUUUUCAAACACAAAUCUUUCUCAAUGGAAGCUUUAGCCACUUUUUUCAUGUUACAAGUUCAGUGCGACUGUAUUUCCUGAAUGCAAGCUAUUGUGCUUAGUCAACUGUAACUGAAGAACAAGAUGAGGCAAGAUUAGUGGCAUCACUGCAGUAGAAUGUGCUGUGGAAGAACCAUCUUGUGUGUGACUGAAAAGUAAGUUCCAACACUCACUACGUGCAAACUGAAGAAGGGUUAAAAGCGGCUUAGUAAAGCUCAAUAUAAAUAUAUUAUUAGGGGAGGUUUUCUUGCUGCAUCUAUGAUUUAACUUUCUGUGUUUGCCAGGAACUAAACUGUGUUACUGAAUUAUUGCUGUAUUACUGAAGAAGCAGGUUAACAUAUAAAUGUGAAGGCUAUAAAGCAUGCCUGAAGGCAGUGUAACAUCAGCACUCAGCUCUUUAAUAGACAGUCUGACAAAAAAAAAAAUACACCCACAGCUUUUCUACUGCUUCAUGUACAGUAUUUAAAAACUGGAAGGAAGACACUUGAGGCGAUCUGAACUCUCAUACUUCCAUGGGUCAAUGAGUUGCCUGUUUAUCAUUUAGUAUAUGCCAGAAAAGUUAGCCAAUGUAUUAUCUGCCCUUCAGAUGACAGAGAUGGAACGGGGGGCAACAUAUAAUGUACUGCAACUAUUAACUGCCCACAUUUUUGCUACAGAAAUGCAGGAAGCAUCUAAAGCACUAGCUUACAAAAGGAAGACCAGGCCAACAACCCUUUCCUUUUUGCAUUAUCAGUAACACCAGAACUAUAUGAGAUGUAGCUCUAGUACCUUCUCUCAGCACAAUGUAGUUCACCCCUCUAUACGUAUUUAAGAGUAUUGCACUAAUCUAACUGCUUUUCACAGAAUGUCUUGGAUUUGAAGGGCCCCUAAAGAUCAUGUAGUUCUUACACCCCUGCCAUGGGCUGGUUGCAUC
ensembl:lncRNA